rnacentral:rRNA from 1 species
CAGUCGCCGCGGGAAUACGUAGGUGGCAAGCGUUGUCCGGAAUUAUUGGGCGUAAAGGGCUCACAGGCGGUUUCUUAAGUCUGAUGUGAAAGCCCCCGGCUCAACCGGGGAGGGUCAUUGGAAACUGGGAAACUUGAGUGCAGAAGAGGAGAGUGGAAUUCCACGUGUAGCGGUGAAAUGCGUAGAGAUGUGGAGGAACACCAGUGGCGAAGGCGACUCUCUGGUCUGUAACUGACGCUGAGGAGCGAAAGCGUGGGGAGCGAACAGGAUUAGAUACCCCCGUAGUCCCUGUCUCUUAUAC